AGUACAAUUUUCAACCGAUAGAUAACGCUACCAUGCCCAAAAUAGCGCAUUUUACAUUAAACGAAUAUAUAAACACAUACGCCUUUUUGCUAUAUGAAAAAUUGAAAAAUUAACAGGGUUUCAGAAUUGAAAUAAAAAUAAUAUCUCAUUUCUACAGCAGUCUACGCUUGGUAUAAUAAACAAGUCAACGAUUAUGAUAAUUACAAUAUCUACGCAAGAAUUAAUUCUAAAACUAAUUCUAAACUAUGACUUUAAAAUGUUUUCCCAUAUGUUCGUACCAUAAGACAGAAGACACAAGAGUAUCUUUUCAUAAUAUGGAUAUUUCUUCGCUUCUCAGAAAAAAGGAAAGAUCUAUCCUUGCGAAAUAAUUCUUAUAUUCAGCAAGAUAAGAAGUUCUGUUUAAAUCCUCUAUUAUAAUCAUCCAUCACGAAUAAUGUGAUGUCCAAUUAAUUCUGAAUUAAUUAAACAGUCGCACGUUUCAACCGAUAUAACUAAUUCACGAUUUCAGUAAUUGAUUUUGAGUUUAUUAAUAACCUCGAGGAUCGUAUUUAAUUAGAAAUGUAUUAUGUAAAUUGACUCAGCAGAAGUAGUCUCUAAUUUAUUACGUAUUUUACAUGAAACAGACUCUACAUUGUGUUAUAUAAAUUGCAUAUAAUUACGGCAAUCUUAUCUAAUUAUCCAAGAUCCAUAAAGUUGUUUAUUCGUAUCACGACGAAGGAACUAGGGAGAAGGAGAUUGUAAAACACAGGAGGAAAGAAAGGAAAUUAUUUGAAUUCCCUUUUUUU
rnacentral:misc_RNA from 1 species